UACGUAGGGUGCGAGCGUUAAUCGGAAUUACUGGGCGUAAAGCGUGCGCAGGCGGCUUCGCAAGUCAGGCGUGAAAUCCCCGGGCUUAACCUGGGAAUGGCGUCUGAAACUACGGAGCUGGAGUGUGGCAGAGGGAGGUAGAAUUCCACGUGUAGCGGUGAAAUGCGUAGAGAUGUGGAGGAACACCGAUGGCGAAGGCAGCCCCCUGGGUCAAGAUUGACGCUCAUGCACGAAAGCGUGGGGAGCAAACAGG
rnacentral:rRNA from 1 species